ensembl:snoRNA
UGUUGCCUGUUUUUCUGUUGCCUGAAACUCAUGUUUAGAUUCUAGGUCAUCACAGAUUAAUGGCAACUUAUUCUGAUCAGAGAAUGAUGGGAUAAUGGGCCUAUCCUCAUGUUCCUUGAAAUUUGCAGGAUCAUACCCUU